CUGCUGCCUUCCGUAGGAGUUUGGACCGUGUCUCAGUUCCAAUGUGGGGGACCUUCCUCUCAGAACCCCUAUCCAUCG
rnacentral:rRNA from 1 species